AUAAUAACUUUACGGAUCACAAUUAAUGUGACAUAUCAUACAAGUUUCUGACCUAUCAGCUUUAGACGGUAGGGUAUUGGCCUACCGUGGCAYUGACGGUAACGGGGAAUUAGGGUUCGAUUCCGGAGAGGGAGCCUGAGAAACGGUACCACAUCUAAGGAAGGCAGCAGGCGCGCAAAUUACCCAAUCCUAAUACAGGGAGGUAGUGACAAGAAAUAACAAUACAGGACUUUUUGGUUUUGUAAUUGGAAUGAGUUAAGUAUAAACCCCUUUACAAGUAUCAAUUGGAGGGCAAGUCUGGUGCCAGCAGCCGCGGUAAUUCCAGCUCCAAUAGCGUAUAUUAAAGUUGUUGCAGUUAAAAAGCUCGUAGUUGGAUUUCUGUUAAUAAUUUAUAUAAAAUAUUUUGAUGAAUAUUUAUAUAAUAUUAACAUAAUUCAUAUUACUAUUUUUUUUUUUAGUAUAUGAAAUUUUACUUUGAGAAAAUUAGAGUGCUUAAAGCAGGCAUAUGCCUUGAAUACUCCAGCAUGGAAUAAUAUUAAAGAUUUUUAUCUUUUUUAUUGGUUCUAAGAUAAGAAUAAUGAUUAAUAGGGACAGUUGGGGGCAUUGUAUUUAACAGUCAGAGGUGAAAUUCUUAGAUUUGUUAAAGACAAACUAAUGCGAAAGCAUUUGCCAAGGAUGUUUUCAUUAAUCAAGAACGAAAGUUAGGGGAUCGAAGACGAUCAGAUACCGUCGUAGUCUUAACCAUAAACUAUGCAACUU
rnacentral:rRNA from 1 species